UACGUAGGUGGCGAGCGUUGUCCGGAAUUACUGGGUGUAAAGGGAGCGUAGGCGGGAGUGCAAGUUGAAUGUUAAAUCUAUCGGCUCAACCGAUAGCCGCGUUCAAAACUGCAUUUCUUGAGUGAAGUAGAGGUUGGCGGAAUUCCUAGUGUAGCGGUGAAAUGCGUAGAUAUUAGGAGGAACACCAGUGGCGAAGGCGAUUCUCUGGACUGUAACUGACGCUGAGGCUCGAAAGCGUGGGGAGCAAACAGGAUUAGAUACCCUGGUA
rnacentral:rRNA from 1 species